rnacentral:rRNA from 1 species
GGGGAUUAUUGCGCAAUGGGCGAAAGCCUGACGCAGCGACGCCGCGUGAGGGAUGAAGUUUCCCGGUUGGUAAACCUCUUUCAGAAGGGAAGAAACCGCACGUUGCUAAUCACCGGUGCAUUGCUGUCACCUUCCAAGCAAGCACGGCCUAACACCGUGCCAGCAGCCGCGGUAAUACGGAGGGUGCAAGCGUUAACGGAAUUACUGGGCGUAAAGCGCACGUAGGCUGCUUUGUAAGUCAGGGGUGAAAUCCCACGGCUCAACCGUGGAACUGCCUUUGAUACUGCUUAGCUUGAAUCCGGGAGAGGGUGGCGGAAUUCCAGGUGUAGGAGUGAAAUCCGUAGAUAUCUGGAGGAACAUCAGUGGCGAAGGCGGCCACCUGGACCGGUAUUGACGCUGAGGUGCGAAAGCGUGGGGAGCAAACA